rnacentral:lncRNA from 1 species
CCCACCCCCACCAGCCUCCAUCGCCAGCUUCGCUCGCCGCCGCCACCGCCUCUUCUUGUCGUCAUGGAAACGGGAUCCAGGCGCCCAGCCAAGGCUGGCUGCGGCGGCCGGAAACGGGGGGGCGCUGCUCCGCGUCCCCACUCCGAGCGACCUCUGCCCUCCCGGGGUCCUCCCCGCCAGGAGGCAGGGCAAAGAUCCCCUCCCAAGGAAAACCCUUAAAUUUACCAGGGGAGCGGGCGUUUUGAGUUUCACCGACUCGUCUUUCUCUCUUUGUGCCCUAACCUACCCCUACCUCACACCUGGGGGCACAGUGAGGCCCCCGCCAGCGCGGGCCUGGGGCUGGGCUUGCGGCUGGAGGAACGUGCGUGUGAAAAGCUGAGUGCAGACAGCUCACGGUCCGAUGGGCGGCAGUUUUGAGAAGAAAGGCUUCGUCCCCCUGCAGAACCGGCCAGCGAGUCCCGGGCGGCCGGAGCCGGGGACUCUGGCGGCGGGCCAAAGUUUGGGCUCGGUCGGAACCUCGGGGUUGUCCCUGAGCCACUGUGUGACCUUGGCCCAAACACUUCUGUCUCCGAACUGUGUGUCGGGAAUCAGGGGCCACACACUGCUGGGAGCAGCCUCGCCGCGCGGUUGGGAGGGCGCGGGCAGUCGCUGGACUUCAGAGGCCCGGGCCCGGUUCCCGGCCUUCCGCCCUGCGAGCCUGAGCGGGACCCUGGCUGCCGACCUGCCCCUCUGCACCCUCUGCCGUGCGUCCAUCCGUCCACCUACCCCAGGGCUGCUCUCGGCCACUUUCAGGACUGCCAGGUGUCAGCUCCGUGCCGUUCACCCCUACCCUGCCCCACGGGAGCUGGGAGAAGCCUUCCCACCACUCCAGACUCCGGAGAGACCUCCAGGGAUGAAAUGAGCCAGGCUUCUCACUGUGGCGCUGCAGGCCCGGCCCGGGCAUCCUCUGGCCUUUGUGACUGCCCUGUCUCACACCUGGUCUCUCCAGUGUCACCCCCAGAAAUGUCUCCAGAGGGUGUCGAUGUCCCAGGUUAAGAGCCAUUUAAGGAAUCGGACUCAGGACUUUUCGCUUUUGAGGCAGGAAGCGGAACCACUGAGCUAAAUCCCCAGCCUAUAUCACUCAUCUAUUGAUGGGCAUCUGGCUGGCUUCCACAUUUCAUCUAUUAUGAAUGAUGCUGCUGUGAACAUCUGAGUUUUGCAGAGAUGUUUGUUUUGCUAUCUCCUGGAUGACUAAAGUCACGUGUUAGCCCCUGUGAACACCCUGCAGCAUGGGGAAGGGACUUUCAGAAGGGGCGGUCUCUCUGGACCUCGUCCUACACUGGCUCUUGAACUCACCUUACCCUGCCAAGGCUUCCAAGGUGCUGGCGCUCUCAUCAGCUGCAGCUGGGCCCUUUGUGUUUCUCAAGAGGCGAGAGGCACAGCGUGGCCCUCGCUCUUCCUGCGGCACCAGGAAG